UUUUUACUCCAAACAACAAUAACAAAAUUACAAAUAUUAGACUUAGAGAGAGAGAGAGAAAGCUAUCUACGAGAGAGGAAGCCGGCAACCUAACGGUGAGCAGCCGGAUUCGGUCACAACCUACUAGACCUCAAGUGAGGAAUCCGAUGCUGGUGACGAUCCCUCACCGUCGCUACAGCUUCGUUUCUCGCCGUCGUCUACACCUAUUCUCCCCACUUAAUUUCAGUCUUUUCCUUGAAACCUAGAGAGAUAUGAACAAGUGGGAGAACGGAAAAAGAAGAGAGACGCAAUUUCUUAGGAUCUUUUCCACGUCGGAUGACGUUUUUUUUGUUUCUUCGAUUAGGUUUUCUGGACUUCUACUUCUUUAGGGUUUAGGCUCAGUUGUUGUUCUUCUUAACCUGGAUUCUGUCUGGUUUGUUUAUUGGGUUAUUUUAUACGAUUCUGGAUUUGUUAUCAUUCAGAAUUAGUGUAGGUUUUUGGCUAUUUGUUUGCUGUUUAAUGGCAUUUUUUUGCUUUUGGUUGAAUGUGGGUGGUCUUCUCUGUUGAUUAGAAUGGUUGCUACUUUAGAAGAAAUCGAAGCAGCAGAAGGCAAAAAGUUAGAACAACAACUGUAUGCUAGAGAAGCUCUUUUGUACCAAGAAUGCCAAAUGGAAAAAGUGGUUGAAGAGUCUAAGAAACUGAAGCUAGUAGCAGAGGGAAAUUCUAAGCUAUGUGACAUUAAGCCCUUUGUUAUGCAUAAAAACCAACUAUUUUAAUUUUCCAGGUUAUGAAUUCUUUUAAUUUGUAUUUUAGUUGCAAGAAAUCCUGACGGAUCGUGGCCAUGUGAUUGAUAUUUUACACUAAGUCUCGGUUAUUCUUAUGAGUAAUAUUUUUUCUUUUUACUCAUUUGACCCUUAAGUGAAUCCUACUAUCGCGACCACUCUUUUCUAGCCAAACAUCAUCAAUCAUAGGCUCCCCAAAUUCAUCUUUCAGGAUCACCACACCACCUUUCGAGUAUGAGACAGAGACACAUAAGACUCCAAAGAAGAGUUCGGAUUCAGAACAUGGUGAUUCUUAUGGGGUUCUUGACAAGAGUUCAAGGCUAGAUGGAUAACCCAAGUCUCCUCAUAUAGAAAGUGGGAAUUCUACCAUUGGUGAAGAAAAAAAGGGUGAUGAUGAACUUAAGGGGCCUUUAGAUGAUGAUGAAUGGGAGCUAUUUAACAAUGGUAACCUUUUGGUUAGAUGAUGAUGGAUUGAACAUAAGAAGAGAGGCGUGUUACUGUUUAUUUGCCUUUUAUGCUAUUAAAAACAAGUAGAUUUUUGAAUUAUGUACUAAAAAAAACAAAAAAAUAAAAUAAAUGUUAUUUUAACCGGUGCUCUUACUAUGAUUUUGUUUGUAUGAAGUUUGCUAUCUUCUAGAACCAGGCCAACCAUAAGGAAACGAGUCUAAAUCCGAGGCCACAAGGCUGAGCCGGGUGGGGUAACGAACCAGGACGGACUUGGGUCAUAAUGGGUCACUUCAAGGGUGACGCACUUGUGCUAGGAACCCAUGUCUGAUUUGCAGCCACUUACGGAUAGACGGCUAAAGUAACCAUAAUAUGUAGGUGUCAAAGUCAAAGAGGGAGCUGUUGGCAUUGGAAGAGCGGAUUGGUAACGUGAACACUUGGUUGACUGAAGAAUACAAUUAUAAACACCUGAAUCAGAAAACGUACGCGAGUGUAUCGGUUGACCUAGAUGCCGAAGAUAGCUGCAUAUGUUAGGUACCCCUAUUGUUUUAUACUUUUUAUUCUCGACGAAAAUGUUAGUUUGGUUCGUUUGGGUGUAAAUUUUGAUGUCUUAUUAGGAAGAAUAGAAUGGGAGCAUUAGAUUGUGUGCAUAAGCUCAUCAAACAAUCGUUGCUUCAGAAGAACGUGUCUCUUGUCUACAAGUAUACGGCUUCAAAAUGAGACUUAAAAUGAGGUUUUUUUUUUAAAGAAAACAAUUACUUCAUCAUGCUGGAUUGGAUCAAGAAAUGUGAAUAAACCUAAGAUGGAGCUGGUAAUGUUUUUCACGCAGAUAGUAUUCUUCAAAUAUGAAGUAUGUUUUUAACUAAAAAUGGGUUUCAAGAAAGCUUUCUAUUUUUGACGUCUCCGUUUGGUUAUCUUUGCGGUUUUGUUGUGUUUAACUUUGAGGUUUCUCUUUUAUUAACGUCAUGUUUUUUUCAAGUAUCGUAAUGAACAUAACAGGAUACCGUUAU
rnacentral:lncRNA from 1 species